UGAUGUGAGCUGUGUAGAGAGGUUGUCUCUGUCACAAUAAAAGUUCACUGAUUCCCCAUCUGCAGCAGGUGUCCGGUUGUCUUCAUUCUCCGCCAGCCUGGAUCCGCUCCAGGGCAACUGGAACGGAUGGGAGGAAAUCGGCCGUGGUCUGAGUGAACGGAGUUUGGACAAAAGCUGUGUGCACACAAAAACAAGAACACGCCCUUGGCGAGGUGGGGGGAACUGGACCACCUUUCUGUGCCCCAUCAUCCUCUAUUAGACGACAUCCAAGCUAAGUAAACAUGUCUUGGCCCUUUCCCCCUGAAAUGACAGGCAGGCAAAGAUGUUGCGUCUUUGUUUGCUUCCUGGCCCUGGGUCUCAUUCCCAUUGGCAUAAUCCUGAUCUGUGAAGGGCCCCCGACACUUCUGACACCUUCAAGUUCAAAAGCUUCGCCCCCUUCUGACAGUCCCAAUCUGACAAAUGUAGCCCCUAGGGUCUUGCCCACCACUUCCUCUCCAGUUUUGCCCACGCCCGAUCCAUUUAGAAAGAAACGAGACACGGUUACCUCCUCGCCAACGGAUGAUGAAAACUCUGAUC
ensembl:lncRNA